rnacentral:rRNA from 1 species
UACGGAGGGUGCAAGCGUUAUCCGGAUUCACUGGGUUUAAAGGGUGCAUAGGUGGGUUGGUAAGUCAGUGGUGAAAUCCCCGAGCUUAACUUGGGAACUGCCAUUGAUACUAUCAGUCUUGAAUACUGUGGAGGUUAGCGGAAUAUGUCAUGUAGCGGUGAAAUGCUUAGAUAUGACAUAGAACACCAAUUGCGAAGGCAGCUGGCUACACAAAUAUUGACACUGAGGCACGAAAGCGUGGGGAUCAAACAGG